rfam:Lottia gigantea unplaced genomic scaffold LOTGIsca_39, whole genome shotgun sequence.
GGGCGCGGAUCGUGGGGGCACCACUCUUACUUUCACGGUGGAUUUCCCAAGAUCCGUGAU